rnacentral:rRNA from 1 species
GAUGAACGCUGGCGGCGUGCCUAAUACAUGCAAGUCGAGCGAACAGACGAGGAGCUUGCUCCUUCGACGUUAGCGGCGGACGGGUGAGUAACACGUAGGUAACCUACCUAUAAGACUGGGAUAACUUCGGGAAACCGGAGCUAAUACCGGAUAAUAUUUCGAACCGCAUGGUUCGAUAGUGAAAGAUGGCUUUGCUAUCACUUAUAGAUGGACCUGCGCCGUAUUAGCCAGUUGGUAAGGUAACGGCUUACCAAGGCAACGAUACGUAGCCGACCUGAGAGGGUGAUCGGCCACACUGGAACUGAGACACGGUCCAGACUCCUGCGGGAGGCAGCAGUAGGGAAUCUUCCGCAAUGGGCGAAAGCCUGACGGAGCAACGCCGCGUGAGUGACGAAGGUCUUCGGAUCGUAAAACUCUGUUAUUAGGGAAGAACAAACGUGUAAGUAACUGUGCACGUCUUGACGGUACCUAAUCAGAAAGCCACGGCUAACUACGUG